UUGAGGAUCUGAAAUGGAAGAACUGACGCCGACGGUCAGUGAAGAGGAGGAGGAAGAGUUGGCAAAGGGAGCCAUGCUCUGGUCCAUCCAGGAGGCUUUAGAGAAGCAGACCUUGCAGAUUGGUGCAUCUGCCUGUGGAGCCACCGCUGUGGUGGACGUGCUGAAGGCUCUCACAGUGGACGUGGCCCCCGAGGAAGCCGACCGUUGUGUUAAAACCUGUCUAAGGAGGAACGAGGCACCGCUGCCUGACUACCUGCUGUCCCGGAGUGAAGCUGGUGCAACUCACGCUCAGCUUAUCCAGGGCGCAGAGGAGGCGAGUCGGGGGAAAGUGUCAGGCCGCUUCUUUCACCUUUACCCUCGGCGAAGGGUCAAGCUGGUCACCUGGCUCGCACGCUGGAUCCGUAAAGGUGCUGUUCCCGUGGCAACCAUGAACAUGCAGCUGGCUGUGCCUGCUGGGGAGGAGGUGCCAGAUGCUUGGCACCAUCAACUGAUCUUUGGUGUGGCGCCAAAUGCAGUUUUCAUGACAAAUCCUCUGGAUGUUGUGAGUGAGGACAUCUUGCACCAGAGACUCUGCAGCGAGUCGGUGCUCCUGAUCCGGCGAGAAGAUGUCCUGCAGCGCCUCACACCUGCCUGCUGCCUGGCCAACCUAUCUGAACCGCGAUGGGAAGCGCUGGAUGUCCAAGGUCAGGUGAGAAUGAUGUGCCAAGAAGAAGAGGAGGAUGGGUCCAAGUCAGCACACAUCAGGAUCCCUGCAGCGUACAGUUCAGGCAUCACACUUUUCGCUCUGCAACAGUCGGCGCUGGGUCAGGAGCUCAUCAGGGCUCCUGAGCUCCCUUUGUUGGGCAGAGGAGACUGAUCGGGGCUCCGGCUGGAUCCAGCUUCUUUCUUUGAAUCUGCGGCUAGAGGUGAGUCUUGAAAACGACUAAUGCAAAAUAUGUCGGUGCUAAAGCUGAUUGAGCCAAAAAUAAACACUUUAGCAAUGUUACGAUAUGCACUUUGAAAAGGAGCCUUACUCGUAUUUGUUUGAGAUGUUUUUGUGGAUGACGCUAGCCAUACUGACUAAAAAAAACCAAAAACCUACUGUAUUAUUGCGCUUUGACCUUAAACUGUUACUUAGAAGUUUUCUGGUCUUUUGAUAUUAACUUUUGUUAAAAAUGCAGUAUUAGGGGCUCGUGAAUUAGGGUAAAAUGGCUGCCCACUUAAAGCCCAUCUAAAGGCAAGUGAUGUUCUCUCCUGACAUGAGUCACAUGAGUGGAGUGAUUCCACUUAAAGUCGAUGAAGACAAUCAUAGAGGUCGAGACUCGGCCUUUUCUGCUGUCCUGAGACAGUCGGUGCAGCUUUUAGCCACUUUAAUCUGCACCCACUGGCCUGUGGGGGAGUUGCAUCAUCAAGAUUAGGAUGAUCUGACCUAUGAUCCUGAUUUGUUUGAGGUCUUUUUUUUGUUUUGUGCUCAUUUCUUGGAACAAAAUGUUUGAGCUAAGAAUUUAAAGUCAAGUCCCUAUUUACUAACAUAAAAAUCAAUUAGAAUAUUGCCUUCCUGAGAUUACAAUCAGACUGUGACACUCCUGUCUCAUUGGAGUUAAUCAACACGACGUCUCAAAGGAAAAGCUCUGCAAGGAAGCACAACAUUCAUCAGCCAGGAAAAAUGAUCUGUUUGGUCCCGGGGGCUCCAGAGUUGGAUGUCCAAAGACCAUUUCUGUUCUGCUCCAAUACAUCUGUCCUCCACUGACAUUGCAAAAUAAUUUGCAGCCUAUAAAGGUCAGCGCUUGUUCACAGCUCAGGACGCCACUUUCGCUAUAGGUCAAUACGUACACGCAAUUAAACGGGUGUUUUAUGAGCCAAGCGAAGGCCAUUGUCAAAGUCGACUCAUU
rnacentral:lncRNA from 1 species